rnacentral:tRNA from 1 species
GGCCUCGUAGCUCAUCUGGUAGAGCGUGCACGUACAAAGCGCAUGCGGCGUCCAUACGUUGGUUCGACUCCCACCGAGGCUA